UUUUUAUUGAAAAGGGAGAAAAAUUAAUUGCUAAAGAUUUACUUUCUCGCUCUAGUGACCCUUAUGUGAAGUGCUAUUUGCAUCUAGACGGUUCCUUGAAUGAAAUACAAACAAAUUUUGUGAAAAAAAACAAAAAUCCUGUCUGGAAUCAUGCUUGUUGUUUUGA
rnacentral:sRNA from 13 species